GCUAAGAAACAUCGGCCGGGACGUGCAAGAUUUGGUAGCAGUUGACCUCGGGCGCAUCAAAUCCUACUUUCAGGUUUUUCCACCGGGAGUUGGUACCUCCCGCUCUCUUGUUUACUAUGUACACCUUUUUACGUAUUCUAGCUAGCAUUCUGUGCGAGAUUUAAUCUAUUGCUAUCUAGUUUGCAUCUUUUUGCGUAUUUUCCAUAGUCAGUUGGAGAGAUAGUGGCCGCGGCAGGGGAUGAUAGUGUAAGGUCAUGUCCUUGGGGGGUGGGGGUG
rnacentral:lncRNA from 1 species